rnacentral:rRNA from 1 species
UACGGGGGGGGCAAGCGUUGUUCGGAAUUACUGGGCGUAAAGGGCUCGUAGGCGGCCAACUAAGUCAGACGUGAAAUCCCUCGGCUUAACCGGGGAACUGCAUCUGAUACUGGAUGGCUUGAGUUCGGGAGAGGGAUGUGGAAUUCCCGGUGUAGCGGUGAAAUGCGCAGAUAUCGGGAGGAACACCAAUGGCGAAGGCAGCUCGCUGGGACGGUACUGACGCUGAGGCGCGAAAGCGUGGGGAGCAAACAGG